UACGGGGGGGGCAAGCGUUGUUCGGAAUUACUGGGCGUAAAGGGCUCGUAGGCGGCCAACUAAGUCAGACGUGAAAUCCCUCGGCUUAACCGGGGAACUGCGUCUGAUACUGGAUGGCUUGAGAUUGGGAGAGGGAUGCGGAAUUCCAGGUGUAGCGGUGAAAUGCGUAGAUAUCAGGAGGAACACCUGCGGUGUAGACGGCUUACUGGACGGUAACUGACGCUGAGGCACGAAAGCGUGGGUAGCAAACAGG
rnacentral:rRNA from 1 species